rnacentral:lncRNA from 1 species
AUAUUGAUAUCAAUUACCCACAUUUUGACGUUAAGAAAUCAUUUAUGAAAACAAAAACUUGUUUUAUAAAAUAGUACAUCACUAGUGACAUCAUUUGGGCGAUAAAAAUCUAGGGAGGUAAUGUACCCACACAAAAACUAGAGAGGUACUAAUAAUAGGAUAUCAAGAGGAUUAAGAAACGACAAAACAUAAAGAUAAAAAAAGGAAAAGUGUACGAAAAAUCGGUCCUUGCUUGUGUCUGCAAUAAGUCUACGGACAACAUGACAUUUAAUAAAAAAUGGACGGCACCUCAAUUUUACUCCAAAUGCCAACCAUUCCUUUUCGGGUGCUUGCCCUACGGAUUUUGUGCCUUCCGUCACGUACACAUCUCACCAAAUUACCUCCAAACUUCAAUUAUUUUUUAGUUUAAUUAUCAUACUAUACAAAAUUUCCAAACUAUUUUUUAAACAUAUAAAUGUAAUUAUUUUUAAUCUAACAAUAUAUAAAUUAAAAUUUUCAUUAAAAAACUAUUUUAACGUUUAUCCAUUAGAAAAUAUUUCAAAAAUUGUAUUUAUACUAUAUCCUGAAAAUGACUCCAGCUUUUUUUUUAGUGAGCAAAUUAAUAUUACUCAUCUAUCUUAAAAUAACCUAUUAUGAAUAUGCAUUCUUUUUUCUUUGGGGAUUUUUUUUCUUUGUACUCAGCUCGAGGACUUUCUUAAGCAGGGUUUAAAUAAUUGUUUCCCAAUGCUUAAGGCAUUGGCUUGGUAAUCUUGGGUCGGCCAGCUAAUUAUUUGACAGAUAGAUUCCUCGCAGGACGGGGACAAAGAUUCCGU